rnacentral:rRNA from 1 species
UACGUAGGGUGCGAGCGUUUGUCCGGAAUUAUUGGGCGUAAAGAGCUCGUAGGUGGUUUGUUACGUCUGCUGUGAAAACCUAGGGCUUAACCCUGGGCUUGCAGUGGAUACGGGCAGACUAGAGGUAGGUAGGGGAGAAUGGAAUUCCUGGUGUAGCGGUGAAAUGCGCAGAUAUCAGGAGGAACACCGAUGGCGAAGGCAGCUCGCUGGGACGGUACUGACGCUGAGACGCGAAAGCGUGGGGAGCGAACGGG